rnacentral:rRNA from 1 species
CCUACGGGAGGCAGCAGUGGGGGAUAUUGCACAAUGGGGGGAACCCUGAUGCAGCGACGCCGCGUGGGUGAAGAAGCGCCUCGGCGCGUAAAGCCCUGUCAGCAGGGAAGAAAAUGACGGUACCUGACUAAGAAGCCCCGGCUAACUCCGUACCAGCAGCCGCGGUAAUACGUAGGGGGCAAGCGUUAUCCGGAUUUACUGGGUGUAAAGGGGGUGUAGGCGGUGGAGCAAGUUAGAAGGGAAAUACCUAGAGCGUAACUCAGGGACUGCUUGUAAACUUGUUAUACUUGAGUGCAGUAGAGGAAAGUGGAAUUCCGAGUGUAGCGGUGGAAUGCGUAGAUAUUAGGAGGAACAUCAGUGGCGAAGGCGACUUUCUGGACUGUAACUGACGCUGAGGCACGAAAGUGUGGGGAGCAAACAGGAUUAGAUACCCCUGUAGUC